GGACCAAAUCUGCCCCGUUAAACACGAGGAAGGACUGCGCCGUGGAAACGAUGAUAUGAAGAUGGAGCAACCUUCUCCUUUGCGUGUCUGUCUCCUGGUAACGCAGUCCUCUGGGUCAGCUGGUAAAACAACCAUAUGGCGGAGGUUUCGACAAAGAACACGCCCCCCCCGCGCCUGUCCUCACCCUCCGUGGUGGCGCUAUGAUGGAUGGCAGACUGCAGGGGUGAAGGUGGAGGAGCAUGUGACCAACAGUCUGACUCGGGGGUUUGUGUGAAGCUCUUUCCAGGAAUGUGAAGCCUGUAACCGUAUAAUGACUCACUAAUCACAAUGAUUUGAUAAUCGGGGAGGGGGGGCUUUCAAACAACUGAAGCACACACAUGUAUGUCCUUGUAUGAUUCCACACACACAUGCGCUGACAUUAAAAUUAAUUCCCUGAGCCUCUUUAAUGGUGCGAGGGUUUAUGUCGUCACGUGUCACCAUAACUUGCAAUGAAAAUAAAACCCAAGCACAUUAUACUUUAAUUAGCCAUUUUAUACUCCCCAUUAAAAGACUCCUGUUUCUACUACCCAAUGAUAACAGUUUGAAAAGUAAUAUUAGACUUUAUGGCCUAUCCACACUAAAUCUGGAUGAUAAAGAGGUUAAGGUGGCCGGACUCAAUGUGGCAUUAGCGUGCUCCAACACGGUUUCAGGAUUUUAACUCAGUCACAUGGCAAACAAUUGAUUUGGGCUCCUCAGUGCGGUGACCCAGAAGUGCAAAUCAAAACAACAAAUCACUAAACAAAAAAAAUGUAUAAAACAAAACAAUUACAUGUUUUAGAAAUCAAAAUAAAAUUCCAGGAAUUAAAAUAUAAAAGAAAAAAAACGUUAGAAAAUGGAAAAUCCUACCUGAGAGUAUUAGAGGGAGCUUAAAAAUAAUAUAUAUAUUUAUGACAUAAAAUCAUAAUUUUGUGACAAUAAAGUUGUAAAAUUAUGAGGAAAAA